rnacentral:rRNA from 1 species
AUACGUAUGUCGCGAGCGUUAUACGGAAUUAUUGGGCGUAAAGCGAGUCUAGGCGGCUUGUUAAGUCAGAUGUGAAAAUGCGGGGCUCAACUCCGUAUUGCGUUUGAAACUGGCAGGCUAGAGUACUGGAGAGGUGGGCGGAACUACAAGUGUAGAGGCGAAAUUCGUAGAUAUUUGUAGGAAUGCCGAUAGUGAAGACAGCUCACUGGACAGAUACUGACGCUAAAGCUCGAAAGCGUGGGGAGCGAACAGGAUUAGAAACCCGGGUAGUCC